rnacentral:rRNA from 1 species
GGAUAACUUACCCUUAGGACUGGGAUAACUCUGGGAAACUGGGGAUAAUACUGGAUAUUAGGCUAUGCCUGGAAUGGUUUGCCUUUGAAAUGUUUUUUUCGCCUAAGGAUAGAUCUGCGGCUGAUUAGGUCGUUGGUGGGGUAAUGGCCCACCAAGCCGAUGAUCGGUACGGGUUGUGAGAGCAAGAGCCCGGAGAUGGAACCUGAGACAAGGUUCCAGACCCUACGGGGUGCAGCAGGCGCGAAACCUCCGCAAUGUACGAAAGUGCGACGGGGGGAUCCCAAGUGUCAUGCUUUUUUGUAUGACUUUUCAUUAGUGUAAAAAGCUUUUAGAAUAAGAGCUGGGCAAGACCGGUGCCAGCCGCCGCGGUAACACCGGCAGCUCGAGUGGUAGCUGUUUUUAUUGGGCCUAAAGCGUUCGUAGCCGGUUUGAUAAGUCUUUGGUGAAAGCUUGUAGCUUAACUAUAAGAAUUGCUGGAGAUACUAUUAGACUUGAAGACGGGAGAGGUUAGAGGUACUACCGGGGUAGGGGUGAAAUCCUAUAAUCCUGGGAGGACCACCUGUGGCGAAGGCGUCUAACUGGAACGAUCUUGACGGUGAGUAACGAAAGCCAGGGGCGCGAACCGGAUUAGAUACCCGGGUAGUCCUGGCCGUAAACGAUGUGGACUUGGUGUUGGAAUGGCUUUGAGUUGUUCCGGUGCCGAAGGGAAGCUGUUAAGUCCACCGCCUGGGAAGUACGGUCGCAAGACUGAAACUUAA